AUUUUUUUAACAUAAUCUUAUUAAAAUUUUUAAACCUGUUCUUAGCAGUUUAAUAGCUGAUAUGUCGUUUAUUUGAGGACUGUAUGUUAAACUGAUUUUUGAAACAGGGAGCUGGAAUAGGAGCUUGCUCUGUCCACUCCAUGCAUUGACCUGGUAUUGCAGUGUCUCCAGGACUGGUGCAUCUCCU